rnacentral:rRNA from 1 species
GACGGAGGGGGCUAGCGUUGUUCGGAAUGACUGGGCGUAAAGGGCGCGUAGGUGGUUUUUCAAGUCAGGCGUGAAAGCCCCAGGCUUAACCUGGGAAUUGCGUUUGAUACUGGAUGACUAGAGGACGAGAGAGGAAAGUGGAAUUCCGAGUGUAGAGGUGAAAUUCGUAGAUAUUCGGAGGAACAUCAGAGGCGAAGGCGGCUUUCUGGCUCGUAUCUGACGCUGAGGCGCGAAAGCGUGGGGAGCAAACAGG